ACGGCCGUACCAUGCUGAAUAUACCGGUUCUCGUUAGAUCACCGAAGUUAAGCAUCAUUGGGCGCGGUCAGUACUUGGGAGGGUGACCACCUGGGAACACUGCGUGCCGUU
rnacentral:rRNA from 1 species